UACAGAGGGUGCGAGCGUUGUCCGGAAUCACUGGGCGUAAAGGGCGCGUAGGCGGUCCGCUAAGCGUGUGGUGAAAGCUCGGGGCUCAACCCCGAGUCGGCCGUGCGAACUGGUGGACUUGAGCAUGUCAGAGGCAGGCGGAAUUCCGGGUGUAGCGGUGGAAUGCGUAGAGAUCCGGAAGAACACCAAUUGCGAAGGCAGCUCGCUGGGACGUUACUGACGCUGAGACGCGAAAGCGUGGGGAGCAAACAGG
rnacentral:rRNA from 1 species